rnacentral:lncRNA from 1 species
UUUACUUCUUGGUGAGAACGCUGAUUUCAAUUGCUACGGUCAAGCUGCAACAAUAGGGUUUUGGCGUGAAGGAUUUUUUUUUUUUUACUAUUAUUACAUUCAAAUUUCUUUUAGAAGAGUGAAGGCAUUGAUUGAUGUGAAGUGAUGUUUUUAACUUUCAUUGAGAGAGAGACAAAUGUUCAUUUGUAGCGCUAAUUCAAUAUAGGAUAGUGAUGUUAAUGGUGUGACUGUUGACGGAUUGGCAAGCGUCCCAAAUCGUUCAA